rnacentral:rRNA from 1 species
UACGUAGGGGGCUAGCGUUGUCCGGAAUCAUUGGGCGUAAAGAGCGUGUAGGCGGUCCGGUAAGUCCGCUGUGAAAGUCGGGGGCUCAACCCUCGAAUGCCGGUGGAUACUGUCGGGCUAGAGUGCGGAAGAGGCGAGUGGAAUUCCUGGUGUAGCGGUGAAAUGCGCAGAUAUCAGGAGGAACACCUAUUGCGAAGGCAGCUCUCUGGUCGACCUCUGACGCUGAGACGCGAAAGCGUGGGGAGCGAACGGG